UACUGCUAUCGAGAUUCGACUAAGCCAUGCGAGUUGAAUGUUCUUCGUGAACAUGGCGGACUGCUCAGUAACACGUGGACAACCUACCCUUGGGUUCGGCAUAAUCCUGGGAAACUGGGGAUAAUUCCGGAUAAACCACAGAUGCUGGAAUGCGCUGUGGCCCAAAGCUCCGGCGCCCAAGGAUGGGUCUGCGGCCUAUCAGGGUUGUAGUGGGUGUAAUGUACCUACUAGCCUACGACGGGUACGGGUUGUGAGAGCAAGAGCCCGGAGAUGGAUUCUGAGACACGAAUCCAGGCCCUACGGGGUGCAGCAGGCGCGAAAACUUUACAAUGCGGGAAACCGUGAUAAGGGAAUCUCGAGUGCCAGCAUAUAAUGUUGGCUGUCCAGAUGCCUAAAAAGCAUCUGUUAGCAAGGGCCGGGCAAGACCGGUGCCAGCCGCCGCGGUAACACCGGCGGCCCGAGUGGUAACUGCUUUUAUUGGGUCUAAAGGGUCUGUAGCCGGCCAAGUAAGUCCCUUG
rnacentral:rRNA from 1 species